rnacentral:rRNA from 1 species
UACGUAGGGGGCUAGCGUUGUCCGGAAUCAUUGGGCGUAAAGAGCGUGUAGGCGGCCCGGUAAGUCCGCUGUGAAAGUCGGGGGCUCAACCCUCGAAUGCCGGUGGAUACUGUCGGGCUAGAGUGCGGAAGAGGCGAGUGGAAUUCCUGGUGUAGCGGUGAAAUGCGCAGAUAUCAGGAGGAACACCAAUUGCGAAGGCAGCUCGCUGGGCCGUUCCUGACGCUGAUGAGCGAAAGCCAGGGGAGCAAACGGG